GGGCCCGCACAAGCGGUGGAGCAUGUGGUUUAAUUCGAUGAUACGCGAGGAACCUUACCAGGGCUUAAAUGUAGUGGGACAGGUCUAGAGAUAGACCCUUCUUCGGACUCAUUACAAGGUGCUGCAUGGUUGUCGUCAGCUCGUGCCGUGAGGUGUCAGGUUAAGUCCUAUAACGAGCGCAACCCCUAUCGUUAGUUGCCAGCGGGUAAUGCCGGGAACUCUAGCGAAACUGCCGGUGCAAACCGUGAGGAAGGUGGGGAUGACGUCAAAUCAUCACGGCCCUUACGUCCUGGGCUACACACGUGCUACAAUGGUCGGUACAGAGAGCAGCCACUACGCGAGUAGGAGCGAAUCUUCAAAAAACCAAUCGUAGUCCGGAUUGCAGUCUGCAACUCGACUGCAUGAAGUCGGAAUCGCUAGUAAUCG
rnacentral:rRNA from 1 species